rnacentral:lncRNA from 1 species
AGCCAGACUGAAGAGACAAAUCAUUGUGGAUCUUUUUGAGAUUGGCAUAACAGAGAAGCACCUCAAGAAAGCCACAGAUGAGUAAUUAUCCUUUGAUGAAAAAGAGGCGGGCCCACAUCCUUACCCCGGAGUUCUAGUUAUCUUGUUGCCCGUAGCUGCAGUAACCAUCCCCAAAGUCUUAGUAGAUACGGGGAGUGCUCUAAACAUCCUCUUCAACAACACCCUUAAAUGGAUGGCUAUCCCUGCUAACUUUCUCCAACCGUACUCAAAUAUGGUCAUUGGAUUAAGCGGAGCCUUGAAUUUCGCCAAAUGAUCGAUCAAGCUCAAAGUCGAGCCAGGAUCAGCACUCCAAUAGGUGAAGACAAACUCCGAGUUCGUAUUAUUCGACACUCUAUCGCUUUAUGAUACUGUAAUGGCACAACCCCUACUAUUCAGCCUGAGAGAAACAGUGUCCCUAUAUCACUAUUCAAUCAAGUUCAAGGAUCCCAGGGCGAGAAGAACUGGCAGUGUGUUCGACAGACUGGGGACCCAGCACUCGCUAACUCCUACGCAAGGACAAACUCACCCUAACCUUAAGCUUUCUCUGGAACAGACAGAACCAGAGUUGAGCGCCCUGAAAAGCGAGAGAAACAGUGUCCCUAUAUCACUAUUCAAUCAAGUUCCCCACACCCCAUGGUGUGGGUGAAGUCAAAGGAAACGGGGAGCUCGCCGAAAGAUGUCAAUAGAAACCUUGCACCAGCCAUCAAAUCACACCCCCCCGAGAGUACAUAUGGCCAAUAAAUGGGAAUUCGAGCUCAUUCCAUUGAGUCCUUAAUUCAUAGAGGUCGGUUACUUGAGUUUGUUGCCAAACCGAAUGAAGCAAAUCAACCUACGACGCAGUAGUCGCUGUUGCAGGGGCCUCCCGCAUAAGCUCAGCAGGCAGUCCCUAUUCGUAAUCCACCCCCACGCGUCGAAAUCAAAAUGAUGGUGGGAGAAAAUUAGUAUGUUGAGAGGUCUAGAAGGGCAAAAAGAAGACAAGCCCAAGUGCAAGAAUCGUCCCGAACUACUGGAAUCAAACCCCGCAGAUCGGGAUAGACCCUGAAUGGUUCUGGUUCACGGAGGAAGAUUCUGAAGGAAUCCUCCAAGAUCAAAGUGACGCCCUAGUGGUCACAAUGCCAGUUGUCAGAGUAAAAAUCCACCGGACAUUGGUAGACAACGGAAGUUCGGUCAACAUACUGUACUCACGAACUUUGAGACAGUUGGAAAUAUCGGAACCCUACCUCCAACCAUACUCAAGGAAACUACAAGGAUUCUCUAGAGAUCCUAUUGAAGCUUGAGGUCAAAUCAUCCUUGUUGUAAAACUGGGUGAAGCUCCUCGCCAAAGAAGGAUCUUAGCAGAUUUCGUGGUGGUUGAUUUUGCCAUCCAACUAUAACGCAAUAUUGGGAUGACCCAUUUUACAUGAGCUAAAAGCUGCUAUAUCAAUUUAUCAUUAUUGUAUGAAAUUUCUCACUCUUUACGGGACAGCAAUUAUCCGAGGGGAUCAAGCUGGAGCAAGGGCAUGCAAUGUCGACCUGCCAAAGCCACAAGUCAACAUGCUAAGGGACAGGUGAACACGCAAGCCGGGGAAGCCAGACUGAAGAGACAAAUCAUUGUGGAUCUUUUUGAGAUUGGCAUAACAGAGAAGCACCUCAAGAAAGCCACAGAUGAGUAAUUAUCCUUUGAUGAAAAAGAGGCGGGCCCACAUCCUUACCCCGGAGUUCUAGUUAUCUUGUUGCCCGUAGCUGCAGUAACCAUCCCCAAAGUCUUAGUAGAUACGGGGAGUGCUCUAAACAUCCUCUUCAACAACACCCUUAAAUGGAUGGCUAUCCCUGCUAACUUUCUCCAACCGUACUCAAAUAUGGUCAUUGGAUUAAGCGGAGCCUUGAAUUUCGCCAAAUGAUCGAUCAAGCUCAAAGUCGAGCCAGGAUCAGCACUCCAAUAGGUGAAGACAAACUCCGAGUUCGUAUUAUUCGACACUCUAUCGCUUUAUGAUACUGUAAUGGCACAACCCCUACUAUUCAGCCUGAGAGAAACAGUGUCCCUAUAUCACUAUUCAAUCAAGUUCCCCACACCCCAUGGUGUGGGUGAAGUCAAAGGAAACGGGGAGCUCGCCGAAAGAUGUCAAUAGAAACCUUGCACCAGCCAUCAAAUCACACCCCCCCGAGAGUACAUAUGGCCAAU